UAAUUAGAAUAUCAUCAAAAAGUUGAUUUAUUUCACUAAUUCCGUUCAAAAAGUGAAACUUGUAUAUUAUAUUCAUUCAUUACACACAGACUGAUAUAUUUUAAAUGUUUAUUUCUUUGAAUUUUGAUGAUUAUAACUGACAACUAAGGAAAAUCCCAAAUUCAGUAUCUCAGAAAAUUAGAAUAUUACUUAAGACCAAUACAAAGAAAGGAUUUUUAGAAAUCUUGGCCAACUGAAAAGUAUGAACAUGAAAAGUAUGAGCAUGUACAGCACUCAAUACUUAGUUGGGGCUCCUUUUGCCUGAAUUACUGCAGCAAUGCGGCGUGGCAUGGAGUCGAUCAGUCUGUGGCACUGCUCAGGUGUUAUAAGAGCCCAGGUUGCUCUGAUAGUGGCCUUCAGCUCUUCUGCAUUGUUGGGUCUGGCAUGUUGCAUCUUCCUCUUCACAAUACCCCAUAGAUUUUCUAUGGGGUUAAGGUCAGGCGAGUUUGCUGGCCAAUUAAGAACAGGGAUACCAUGGUCCUUAAACCAGGUACUGGUAGCUUUGGCACUGUGUGCAGGUGCCAAGUCCUGUUGGAAAAUGAAAUCUGCAUCUCCAUAAAGUUGAUCAGCAGCAGGAAGCAUGAAGUGCUCUAAAACUUCCUGGUAUACGGCUGCGUUGACCUUGGACCUCAGAAAACACAGUGGACCAACACCAGCAGAUGACAUGGCACCCCAAACCAUCACUGACUGUGGAAACUUUACACUGGACCUCAAGCAACGUGGAUUGUGUGCCUCUCCUCUCUUCCUCCAGACUCUGGGACCCUGAUUUCCAAAGGAAAUGCAAAAUUUACUUUCAUCAGAGAACAUAACUUUGGACCACUCAACAGCAGCCCAGUCCUUUUUGUCUUUAGCCCAGGCGAGACGCUUCUGACGCUGUCUGUUGUUCAAGAGUGGCUUGACACAAGGAAUGCGACAGCUGAAACCCAUGUCUUGCAUACGUCUGUGCGUAGUGGUUCUUGAAGCACUGACUCUAGCUGCAGUCCACUCUUUGUGAAUCUCCCCCACAUUUUUGAAUGGGUUUUGUUUCACAAUCCUCUCCAGAAUCCCCCUUAAAAAAAAGGCCACCCUUCGGAAAUUGACUCUACCAAACUCCCCCACCUCUGUUCGUGACUUGGACUGUUCCAAACUUUCCGGGGAGUUGGAAAACAAGAUGUUAUGGAGAGAGGCUGCGUAGAUGUGCUUGUUUAUUGUAAAUAAGUUAAAUUUGUCAGAAGUAUUGCAAUCCAAAGAUUGAGGAUUAUGUGUGUGCGUGCAACUAAUUUUUCUCCAGUUCUGUGGCGGACGGAUAUGUGACUGCAGUCCGCAGCAAGCUCCGCAGUCCGCACCUGGAACUUAGGCUGUUUCGCACUUUCCUGUGUUGCACUUGCCGUCCCCAUCAAGGAGUUUUGGACUGGUCCACCGCGCACGUGUGUGUAGAUUCUGCAGAAGUCCGGCGGCGCCGGCGGGAGAGAGCAGCUCUGCAGACAGAUGCUGAGAGGAGCUGCAAAUCCCUCAUUCAUCAGAGCAGCUACCAAGAGAAGUUAUGCUUUUUGUCAGAGCCGUUUGGAAUGAAAAUGGGAAGGAAAUGGAGGGGACCAUCCCUGAUGCCUGAGUUAAAGUAGCUGAGAAAACCCUUCGGUGGCCAAAGACAAGGGCAAAAUAUUGUUUUGAAAACCAUGUGGCCCCUAAGGACGACUGGGAUACGUUCCCAUUGUUGAAAGUGAAAUUUACCGCAGAAAGUCUCCAUGAGUGUGAGGAAUAUGAUCAAACCAGCCAUGCUGAACAAAGAUGAAGACGAAGAGGUUAUAGUGCGAAAGAGGAUGAAAAAAACUAAAACUUUUGAAGAUUAUGUUGAAGGAUCUGACCUGUCUGAGGCGACUGCUGAGGGGGAGGAUAAAGAAGAGAGGAAAGGAGAUGCCAGUCCCGAAAUUCCAGUCUUUCCCACCCCACCAAUCAAAAUGUCAAAGAACGGUUCACCCAGGUCUGUGGGCCAGGAAAAGUUAACUAGUCGUACAUCCAGGACUGUGGGCCGCGACAGUUCAACUAGUGGUUCAUCAAGGUCCAGGUCCAGGUCCGUGGGCCGGGACAGUUCAAGUAGUUGUUCCUCCAGGUCUGUGAGCCGGGACAGUUCAAGUAGUCGUGUACCCAGGUCUCAGGCUGUGGAGAGCAGGUCCAUAGAUGGUCUUUCACAUGCAAGGUCCAUUUCCAAAAGGGAUGUGCCAACCACAUCCCGCUGUCAGAAGCAAAGUUCCAGAAAAUCGUACUUACAAAGCUGGUGACUCUCACUGCUAAAGUCAGAAAACUGCAGAGGAGCGUACCUCAAUCUGGAAUUGAAAUAAAGAAGAUGGACACCUUGGAAGAGUUCCAGAGGGAGGAGGCUUCUCUUCUGAAACCACACAAAUUUGAAACCUUGGUUUGUCAGCUGGCAAGAGUGGGGGGAGAGAUGUUAAGGACUGUACGCACAAAGUGAUGGACAGGCUCUUCACCAAUCAACUAAUGACCCGAUUCAACAUGAAGGGGAAGAGCAAAAAAGACAAAAUACGAUUUGAAGACGAGACAUUGUUUUCAGCAAUAAAAGCUGCUGUCAUGAAAUGGGACGCCGCUGCAACAGAGACCCAAAUAAAGUCUGCUGCAGCCGAUCACCUGAAACAUGCCCCUGGGAGACUCGGGGGUGGUGGCUAUUAAUCUUGACUUUAGGAGCCACAUUUUGUUAAUUGUUAUGUUAUACUGUUUUAACAACAUUUUAUAGAUUCUUUAACUGUGUUAAUUUAUAAUUUACUGUUCAGGCUGUGAAGUUUUGGUCCAGCAGAACAAAAUGGUAAUGAAAAUGUAGUUUGAGAAUUUUAAUAGUUGAUUUCUUGGAGUGGUCAGUUUACAGGAAAAUGGUAAGCAGUUUAUUGCCAUUAUAUUGAUAAGAUAUAAAAAGGCAGUAUAUACAGUACACAGUUAUUCAAUUAAAUAUUCAAUAUUAUCAGUAUUCUUUAAAAUCUUAUUUAGGUCUAUGGUCUGAAGUUUCAUGACACGACAACCAUUAACAAUGAUUAACUGGGUUUUUCUCAGUGAGAACUGCCACUGUUUUGAAGUAAACAUUUUUUACAGUUGGAUCCAUGCAAAUAUGCACAGUUGGGAGUUCAAUGGGUCUUUAACAGUCGUUGACAUUUCUACUACAGAAAACGCGUCUAAUACAACUUUUAGUCUGGCUGCCUUUAGAUGUCAAUUACGUCUUUAAUUGACGUCUAUACAAUGUCCUGAAAAGACGUAAAAAAACUGAGGACGUCUUCUGGAGGUCUAACAAUUAUGUCUUUUAGACGUGUUCUAGACGACUUUUUGCUCGCUGGGGAGGCGAUGCCAGCCUCUUAAAGCAGUCGUGAGUUGAGCACCUCUUUUAAGCCUUUUUAAAUAAAAACAUCUAGAAUCUCAGUAUUGAUCUGUUUUAAAAAUAUGAAGAAGACGGGGUGUUCCGAAAAUGAAGGAAGUGAGCGAGACGAGCGCGAGGGGGGAAAAAAGUUAGUUUUCUCGUGACUUCUUUGAUAUAUGUGUACAGUUUUAGACAAGCGUUGAGGUGAGCGGACGAGAAGCUGGACCGAGCUUGUGCUGUCGUGAGUUUUGACCGAGCCUGAUCGCCGAGAAACUGAACUGCAUGUCUGUGAUAUACCAGGAGGGGCAUUGCUCAUCGUGCUAGCGGAGAUGGUGUGUUGGCACGGGUGUUCAUCUUCUACGGAAGGGAGCUGAGAUACUGUGAGUUUUUCUUCACUGUUGUUUAACCACAGUUUCUAUUCUGAAGAAACACACGGACGUUAUUUGUUGUUCUUGAAGCAAAGCAGCUUGGAUCGAGUGAUUUUGCUACUUCUGUUCGAGCCGAAAUCCUCGUGCGUCGUUUUUCAUACAAUAGUGCCGCCGUGUGGACACAAACGGCAUUGCGAACUCAUUGACGCUCUUCUUUUGACAAUAUUUUUCCUUCUAUUUUUCAGUUUAUUUUUGGACAUUUUGCACUGUUUUCACUUGGAGACUUUGAAACCCUUUUUGGAUGGACAAUUGCAUAGACUUGAGAACUGAUAACUAAGUUUGCACGAAUGAAUGGAUCCGAAUUACGCUGUUUCUGUCCACCAGAAUCUUUGUGAAGAUUUUUUUUUUUUUUUUUUUAAACAUUAUUUUUUUUCUUGAACAUUAUUUUUGAAGAAACGGAAGGGACUUUCUGUUUUUGAACAGGUGGCUAUUUGUUUGAUUUAAUUACCCUGCCAUAUCUGGACACUCCAACACCAGCCCAGUUCUACUGUGAGGUAAAACUUUAACUUUGGGGUUGUGAAUCUCACUCAGGUAUGUGAACUGGAAAUAUCUGAUAUGGAAUGAAACAUCUGUAAUGUACUUUUGAGUGAACUGAGUACCAUCUGAGCAUUCUAUCAGAACUGUUGUUGUUUUUCUGAUUUUGAGUAUUACUGUUGAAAGAGAAGAAACUGAACAAAAGUUUGAAUCUGAACAAAACUUUAUUUUUUAUAUAUUUCUUGAAAAAUCAUAAGACAGUGAAACAAAGAAUUUAUUUCAGGACUGUUGUUUUCUUUAUUUUGUUUAAUUCUGCUAAACAUUUAAGAAAUAAGUGUAAAACUUUGUUAUCUUGGAGUAGGGGCAUUCCUACUGUCUUGUGGUCUGAAGAGGGGAAGAGGGGUUAAUCAACACUGUUAUACUCUGGGGAGCUACCGUGUAUGUUAAGUUCCAGAGCCUCAAUCCUCAUCAGUCGCUGCUACAAAAGACAAAAGCAACAUUAGCAAGGCAGACAACAACAUACUUAUAUAUAUAUAUAUAUAUAUAUAUAUAUAUAAGUACGGGAAUUAAUCGUACUAGGGGGUGAGGACCUAGAUCUUGUCAAUGCCUAGUCAUCCAAGAUAUAUUGCAGCUGAAGUUAAACUCACCCCUACAUUGUAGUGAAAUUCCUCGCUACACCUCUUUUAAGCCUUUUUAAAUAAAAACAUCUAGAAUCUCAGUAUUAAUCGGGUGACUAUCGUCACUCAAAGCCUUUGAUGGCAUCAGUCCUUCAUCAGUCUCUCUCCACCGGAUAAACACACGUGAUCAUCUGUCCCUGUAACAUCAGACAAGAUUCAAGUUUCCUCUGAGAUUGAUGUGCUCAACACUACAUUCACAUGAUGAUGAUGAUGAUGUGUUAACUCUCUUUUUAUCAACACAAAUGUUCCUUCAUUUAUCAACAGUACUAACAGACAAAUAAAACAGAUUAAACUUA